CCUAUCAGCUUUCGAUGGUAGUGUAUUGGACUACCAUGGCAGUCACGGGUAACGGAGAAUUAGGGUUCGAUUCCCGGAGAGGGGAGCCUGAGAACGGCUACCACAUCUACGGAAGGCAGCAGGCGCGUAAAUUACCCAAUCCUGAUUCAGGGAGGUAGUGACAAGAAAUAACAACUCGGGGGCCUCACGGCUUACGAGAUUGCAAUGAGAACAAUUUAAAUCUCUUAGCGAGGAACAAUUGGAGGGCAAGUCUGGUGCCAGCAGCCGCGGUAAUUCCAGCUCCAAUAGCGUAUAUUAAAGUUGUUGCAGUUAAAAAGCUCGUAGUUGAAUUUUCUGAUUAUGGAUGUAGCGGUUUCCGUUACAUUUGUAGUCAUUCCACAAUGAGAACCUUUCUCGGCCUUCACUGGUCGGUU
rnacentral:rRNA from 1 species